AAUGCCUUGAACUAUACAUAUAUUCACAUGAAUAUGGAAUAACUUCAACUUAGAUGUCAAAGGAGACAUAGAGGAAAAUUCUCCCAUUUUGGGAAGGUCAGACCCACCUAUCACCAAGCUCAAUCCAGCCAAUAGAAGUCCCGAAACUCAGCUCAGCGGAGCCCCAACUGUAACGUAUCGAAACCCGAAAACGAUAAUCGAACUUUGACCAAAUUGGUUAAAGUGUCGAAGGAAAGC
rnacentral:lncRNA from 1 species